UGGGGAAUAUUGGACAAUGGGCGAAAGCCUGAUCCAGCCAUGCCGCGUGUGUGAAGAAGGUCUUCGGAUUGUAAAGCACUGUAAGUUGGGAGGAAGGGCAGUAAGCGAAUACCUUGCUGUUUUGACGUUACCGACAGAAUAAGCACCGGCUAACUCUGUGCCAGCAGCCGCGGUAAUACAGAGGGUGCAAGCGUUAAUCGGAAUUACUGGGCGUAAAGCGCGCGUAGGUGGUUCGUUAAGUUGAAUGUGAAAGCCCCGGGCUCAACCUGGGAACUGCAUCCAAAACUGGCGAGCUAGAGUAGGGCAGAGGGUGGUGGAAUUUCCUGUGUAGCGGUGAAAUGCGUAGAUAUAGGAAGGAACACCAGUGGCGAAGGCGACCACCUGGGCUCAUACUGACACUGAGGUGCGAAAGCGUGGGGAGCAAACAGG
rnacentral:rRNA from 1 species